AUGUCGUCGGCGGUCGCGUCCGCCGCAUCCUUCCUCGCGCUCGCGUCAGCCUCCCCCGGGAGAUCACGCAGGCGGGCGAGGGUGAGCGCGCAGCCACCCCACGCCGGGGCCGGCAGGUUGCACUGGCCGCCGUGGCCGCCGCAGCGCACGGCUCGCGACGGAGCUGUGGCGGCGCUCGCCGCCGGGAAGAAGGACGCGGGGAUCGACGACGCCGCCGCGUCCGUGAGGCAGCCCCGCGCACUCCGCGGUGGCGCCGCCACCAAGGUCGCGGAGCGAAGGGAUCCCGUCAAGACGCUCGACCGCGACGCCGCGGAAGGCGGCGGGCCGUCCCCGCCGGCAGCGAGGCAGGACGCCGCCCGUCCGCCGAGUAUGAACGGCAUGCCGGUGAACGGCGAGAACAAAUCUACCGGCGGCGGCGGCGCGACUAAAGACAGCGGGCUGCCCACGCCCGCACGCGCGCCCCAUCCGUCGACCCAGAACAGAGCACCGGUGAACGGUGAAAACAAAGCUAACGUCGCCUCGCCGCCGACGAGCAUAGCCGAGGCCGCGGCUUCGGAUUCCGCAGCUACCAUUUCCAUCAGCGACAAGGCGCCGGAGUCCGUUGUCCCAGCUGAGAAGACGCCGCCGUCGUCCGGCUCAAAUUUCGAGUCCUCGGCCUCUGCUCCCGGGUCUGACACUGUCAGCGACGUGGAACAAGAACUGAAGAAGGGUGCGGUCGUUGUCGAAGAAGCUCCAAAGCCAAAGGCUCUUUCGCCGCCUGCAGCCCCCGCUGUACAAGAAGACCUUUGGGAUUUCAAGAAAUACAUUGGUUUCGAGGAGCCCGUGGAGGCCAAGGAUGAUGGCCGGGCUGUCGCAGAUGAUGCGGGCUCCUUUGAACACCACCAGAAUCACGACUCCGGACCUUUGGCAGGGGAGAAUGUCAUGAACGUGGUCGUCGUGGCUGCUGAGUGUUCUCCCUGGUGCAAAACAGGUGGUCUGGGAGAUGUUGCGGGUGCUCUGCCCAAGGCUUUGGCAAAGAGAGGACAUCGUGUUAUGGUUGUGGUACCAAGGUAUGGGGACUAUGAAGAAGCCUACGAUGUCGGAGUCCGAAAAUACUACAAGGCUGCUGGACAGGAUAUGGAAGUGAAUUAUUUCCAUGCUUAUAUCGAUGGAGUUGAUUUUGUGUUCAUUGACGCUCCUCUCUUCCGACACCGUCAGGAAGACAUUUAUGGGGGCAGCAGACAGGAAAUUAUGAAGCGCAUGAUUUUGUUCUGCAAGGCCGCUGUUGAGGUUCCAUGGCACGUUCCAUGCGGCGGUGUCCCUUAUGGGGAUGGAAAUCUGGUGUUUAUUGCAAAUGAUUGGCACACGGCACUCCUGCCUGUCUAUCUGAAAGCAUAUUACAGGGACCAUGGUUUGAUGCAGUACACUCGGUCCAUUAUGGUGAUACAUAACAUCGCUCACCAGGGCCGUGGCCCUGUAGAUGAAUUCCCGUUCACCGAGUUGCCUGAGCACUACCUGGAACACUUCAGACUGUACGACCCCGUGGGUGGUGAACACGCCAACUACUUCGCCGCCGGCCUGAAGAUGGCGGACCAGGUUGUCGUGGUGAGCCCCGGGUACCUGUGGGAGCUGAAGACGGUGGAGGGCGGCUGGGGGCUUCACGACAUCAUACGGCAGAACGACUGGAAGACCCGCGGCAUCGUCAACGGCAUCGACAACAUGGAGUGGAACCCCGAGGUGGACGCCCACCUCAAGUCGGACGGCUACACCAACUUCUCCCUGAGGACGCUGGACUCCGGCAAGCGGCAGUGCAAGGAGGCCCUGCAGCGCGAGCUGGGCCUGCAGGUCCGCGCCGACGUGCCGCUGCUCGGCUUCAUCGGCCGCCUGGACGGGCAGAAGGGCGUGGAGAUCAUCGCGGACGCCAUGCCCUGGAUCGUGAGCCAGGACGUGCAGCUGGUGAUGCUGGGCACCGGGCGCCACGACCUGGAGAGCAUGCUGCAGCACUUCGAGCGGGAGCACCACGACAAGGUGCGCGGGUGGGUGGGGUUCUCCGUGCGCCUGGCGCACCGGAUCACGGCGGGGGCGGACGCGCUCCUCAUGCCCUCCCGGUUCGAGCCGUGCGGGCUGAACCAGCUCUACGCCAUGGCCUACGGCACCGUCCCCGUCGUGCACGCCGUCGGCGGCCUCAGGGACACCGUGCCGCCGUUCGACCCCUUCAACCACUCCGGGCUCGGGUGGACGUUCGACCGCGCCGAGGCGCACAAGCUGAUCGAGGCGCUCGGGCACUGCCUCCGCACCUACCGAGACUUCAAGGAGAGCUGGAGGGCCCUCCAGGAGCGCGGCAUGUCGCAGGACUUCAGCUGGGAGCACGCCGCCAAGCUCUACGAGGACGUCCUCGUCAAGGCCAAGUACCAGUGGUGA
rnacentral:rRNA from 1 species